CGAGGAAUCUUGCGCAAUGGGCGAAAGCCUGACGCAGCAACGCCGCGUGGGUGAUGAAGGCCUUCGGGUUGUAAAUCCCUUUUGCCGGGGAAGAACUUUGACGGUACCCGGCGAAUAAGCCACGGCUAACUACGUGCCAGCAGCCGCGGUAAGACGUAGGUGGCGAGCGUUAUCCGGAUUUACUGGGCGUAAAGCGUACGUAGGCGGCGCCAUCAGUCUGUCGUGAAAUCUCCCGGCUCAACCGGGAGCGGCCGAUGGAAACUGUGGCGCUCGAGGGGCGUAGAGGCAAGCGGAAUUCCCGGAGUAGUGGUGGAAUGCGUAGAUACCGGGAGGAACACCAGUGGCGCAAGCGGCUUGCCAGACGCAUCCUGACGCUGAGGUACGAAAGCGUGGGUAGCGAACCGG
rnacentral:rRNA from 1 species